rnacentral:misc_RNA from 1 species
AUGGGGACAUUGGCAGAAGGG